UCAUUCAGGUAGGUUCUAGUCUGCAACAACUUGGCAAUCUGGAGUCAGUCAGCUUGCAGGUUCGACGUAUUCAAUUAAUUAAUCCUUGUCUGCAAGGUACCCAGCAGUUUCGGCGUGUAGCGGCCGGUAGGUUCUCGAGGUGCAGGAUCUGUGGUGACAUAAGCAAUUUUAGGUAUAGGUAAGCAGUCGCUAUGCAGCAAUUUUGCAGCGGUAAUGUUAGCCAGCUAUCCAUGUAGCAUAACGUCAUGUUGUUAUUUGUGCUGUUUUAAGGUUGGCAGUCAUAGUGUCACAAGCGGCAGUCGGGCGGCAGCAAGCGAUAUAUCAUAUUGGUGUUCCCAGCAUCUGUUUUCAUGCUCAGGUGCAUAUCUGCCCACGGUAUUUUCAGUACGGACAUUCUACUGUCGGAGCAAUCUGCAUAAUUCAGGUUUCAGGUCAGGUUCCAAGCUAAGGAUUGGAUCAGCAUCGUAUCACCUUCCAUCAAUUUUUGGAGCAAGGGCGUUAGUCGUGUAAGUAAGCCAGUCAUCAGCCGCUGGAGGCUGGAGUGAGCAUUAGCAUUGAACGGUUGUCACAUAUUUUA